UACAGGGGGUGCAAACGUUGCUCGGAAUUAUUGGGCGUAAAGCGCGCGUAGGCGGCCGCUUAAGUCGGAUGUGAAAGCCCCUGGCUCAACUGGGGAAGUGCACCCGAAACUGAGUGGCUUGAGUACUAAAGAGGGUCGCGGAAUUCCCGGUGUAGAGGUGAAAUUCGUAGAUAUCGGGAGGAACACCAGCGGCGAAGGCGGCGACCUGGUUCGAUACUGACACUGAGGUGCGAAAGCGUGGGGAGCAAACAGG
rnacentral:rRNA from 1 species